GACGAACGCUGGCGGCGUGCCUAAUACAUGCAAGUAGAACGCUGAAGGAGGAGCUUGCUCUUCUGGAUGAGUUGCGAACGGGUGAGUAACGCGUAGGUAACCUGCCUGGUAGCGGGGGAUAACUAUUGGAAACGAUAGCUAAUACCGCAUAACAGUAGAUGUUGCAUGACAUUUACUUAAAAGGUGCAAUUGCAUCACUACCAGAUGGACCUGCGUUGUAUUAGCUAGUUGGUGGGGUAACGGCUCACCAAGGCGACGAUACAUAGCCGACCUGAGAGGGUAAUCGGCCACACUGGGACUGGGACACGGCCCAGACUCCUACGGGAGGCAGCAGUAGGGAAUCUUCGGCAAUAGACGGAAGUCUGACCGAGCAACGCCGCGUGAGUGAAGAAGGUUUUCGGAUCGUAAAGCUCUGUUGUAAGAGAAGAACGAGUGUGAGAGUGGAAAGUUCACACUGUGACGGUAUCUUACCAGAAAGGGACGGCUAACUACGUG
rnacentral:rRNA from 1 species